rnacentral:rRNA from 1 species
ACAGAACCGGAGGAAGUGGGGAUGACGUCAAGUCAUCAUGGCCCUUACGGCCUGGGCUACACACGUGCUACAAUGGUCGGUACAAAGGGUUGCCAAGCCGCGAGGUGGAGCUAAUCCCAUAAAACCGAUCGUAGUCCGGAUCGCAGUCUGCAACUCGACUGCGUGAAGUCGGAAUCGCUAGUAAUCGUGAAUCAGAAUGUCACGGUGAAUACGUUCCCGGGCCUU